rnacentral:rRNA from 1 species
CUAGAAAAACUUAGCGGCGAACGGGUGAGUAACACGUAAAGAACCUGCCUCAUAGACUGGGACAACUAUUGGAAACGAUAGCUAAUACCGGAUAACAGUAUUUCUCGCAUGAGAGAUAUUUAAAAGUUGGUUAUGCUAACACUAUGAGAUGGCUUUGCGGUGCAUUAGCUAGUUGGUGGGGUAAAGGCCCACCAAGGCGACGAUGCAUAGCCGACCUGAGAGGGUGAUCGGCCACACUGGGACUGAGACACGGCCCAGACUCCUACGGGAGGCAGCAGUAGGGAAUCUUCCGCAAUGGGCGAAAGCCUGACGGAGCAACGCCGCGUGAGUGAAGAAGGAUUUCGGUUCGUAAAGCUCUGUUGUUAGGGAAGAAUGGAUAUGUAGUAACUAUACAUAUAAGAGACGGUACCUAACCAGAAAGCCACGGCUAACUACGUGCCAGCAGACGCGGUAAUACGUAGUGCAAGCGUUGUCCGGA